AUGGGUGCUGGGAUAAGUGGAGGAGGGCCACCGUGGGCCCACGAGGCAGGGGGGCGCGCCCACCACCCUCGUGGCCAGGUGGGAGCUCCUCCCGCGGGUGGCCUUCAGGAUACAAAGCAAAUAUAUAUAGUUGGAGUUGGCGUCGGAGGGCAUCCAGGAGGCCCACGAGGUAGGGGGCGCGCUCCCCACCCUCGUGAGAAGGAUGUGGGCCCCCUGAGCAAAGCAAGAGGCGACACGAAGAAAAAAGAGAAGCGGAGAUGCGGCAACGUCUGGGAAGGAACAAAGAGCUUGAAGUCGACUCCUCGAGUCGCCUCAAGCCUCGGGGCUAUCAAUUUUGUUUGA
rnacentral:rRNA from 1 species